AGCGAACGCUGGCGGCAGGCCUAACACAUGCAAGUCGAACGAACUCUUCGGAGUUAGUGGCGGACGGGUGAGUAACACGUGGGAACGUGCCUUUUGGUUCGGAAUAACUCAGGGAAACUUGUGCUAAUACCGAAUGUGCCCUUCGGGGGAAAGAUUUAUCGCCAUUAGAGCGGCCCGCGUCUGAUUAGCUAGUUGGUGAGGUAACGGCUCACCAAGGCGACGAUCAGUAGCUGGUCUGAGAGGAUGACCAGCCACACUGGGACUGAGGCACGGCCCAGACUCCUACGGGAGGCAGCAGUGGGGAAUCUUGCGCAAUGGGCGAAAGCCUGACGCAGCCAUGCCGCGUGAAUGAUGAAGGUCUUAGGAUUGUAAAAUUCUUUCACCGGGGACGAUAAUGACGGUACCCGGAGAAGAAGCCCCGGCUAACUUCGUG
rnacentral:rRNA from 1 species